rnacentral:rRNA from 1 species
UCUAGAGGCUUCGGCAAUAGGGGAAACCCUGACCGAGCGACGCCGCGUGCGGGAUUGAAGGUCGUAAGAUUGUAAACCGCUGUCAGCAGGGAAGAAUGUCUGAAUGGUGAAUUCAGAAGCGACGGUACUUGCAGAGGAAGCCCCGGCUAACUCCGUGCCAGCAGCCGCGGUAAUACGGAGGGGGCAAACGUUGUUCGGAAUUACUGGGCGUAAAGGGUGCGUAGGCGGUUCGGCAAGUCUGAUGUGAAAUCUCCUCGCUCAACGAGGAAACGGCAUUGGAAACUGCCGGGCUGGAGGAUGGGAGAGGCAGGUGGAAUUCCUGGUGUAGCGGUGGAAUGCGUAGAUAUCAGGAAGAACACUCGUGGCGAAGGCGGCCUGCUGGCCCAUUUCUGACGCUCAAGCACGAAAGCCAGGGGAGCAAACG